rnacentral:rRNA from 1 species
UACGAGGUGGACAAACGUUAUUCGGAUUUACUGGGCUUAAAGCGUGCGUAGGCGGCUUAGAAAGUUGGGUGUGAAAGCCCUCGGCUCAACCGAGGAAUUGCGCCCAAAACUACUGAGCUUGAGGGAGAUAGGGGAGAGCGGAACUGAUGGUGGAGCGGUGAAAUGCGUUGAUAUCCUAAGGAACACCCGUGGCGAAAGCGGCUCACUGGGUCUCUUCUGACGCUGAGGCACGAAAGCUAGGGUAGCGAACGGG